rnacentral:rRNA from 1 species
GGGGAAUAUUGCACAAUGGGCGAAAGCCUGAUGCAGCAACGCCGCGUGAGUGAUGAAGGUCUUCGGAUUGUAAAGCUCUGUCUUUUGGGACGAUAAUGACGGUACCAAAGGAGGAAGCCACGGCUAACUACGUGCCAGCAGCCGCGGUAAUACGUAGGUGGCGAGCGUUGUCCGGAUUUACUGGGCGUAAAGGGUGCGUAGGCGGAUGUUUAAGUGAGAUGUGAAAUACC